rnacentral:lncRNA from 1 species
UUUGAACGCUUCUUGGUCUCAAUCAUAGUGUUGUUUCCAGUAUCGAAUUUUUGUUUCUGUAUACCGAGUGAGGGAUUUCAUCGCUGUUGAGGUUUUUUAUUCGGGCUUUUGAUUUGGGCUUUCUUAACGUUAUUAUCAACAAAAGUCGAUAUCAAGGUCCAUUUCUUUAACCUGUUCUCUUAUUUAUUUUUGAUUGGUUGCAUUGACUAUGAUUAUGUGUUUGGAUGACUUUGAUAGUCUGAUUUCGUUGAUAUUACUAUGUGGUUUGAAUUUGUUACUAAAAUGAGCAUGGAUUGUUGAAAUGGUUUGUUAAUCAUGGAAUUUGAUACAAGAAAGAAAUUUGGGGUGGAAUUAAAAGUUUAUAAAAGUUGUAUAGUUAAAUUUUGGUCGGUUGUUAUUUUGCUCAAUUCGGGAUAAACAUGAAUGUGAUCGAGCUCAGAUAGGUAAACGUAGGUCGGGUAGGCAAAUUUAGGGAUUGUGGAUUGAUGAAAUAUUUGAGUUAUGUGAUUGAAUGAUUUUUAGCUAUAUUGCGUUGGGAUCAUUUGUAUAAUUUGGUUGGGGAAUGCCCCGAAUUACAUUGUAUUUAUUCACAGGGGAAUGCCCCGACGUACUAUGUUGGCGGAAGACGUUCGUGAGGAAGGCCCGAGGCAUCGGGUAAAGCAUGGGAGCGUAGUUAGUAUUAGUGUAGGUUAGGUAGGAU